AAUCAACGCUGGCGGCGUGCCUAACACAUGCAAGUCGCACGAGAAAGGGGAGCAAUCCCUGAGUAAAGUGGCGCACGGGUGAGUAACACGUGAAUAAUCUACCUCCGAGUGGGGAAUAACUGAGAGAAAUCUUAGCUAAUACCGCAUAACACUUACGAGUCAAAGCAGCAAUGCGCUUGGAGAGGAGUUCGCGGCCGAUUAGUUAGUUGGCGGGGUAAUGGCCCACCAAGACGAUGAUCGGUAUCCGGCCUGAGAGGGCGCACGGACACACUGGAACUGGAACACGGUCCAGACUCCUACGGGAGGCAGCAGUGGGGAA
rnacentral:rRNA from 1 species